AAUAGAUACCCUGGUAGUCCACGCCGUAAACGAUGAGUGCUAAGUGUUAGAGGGUUUCCGCCCUUUAGUGCUGCAGCUAACGCAUUAAGCACUCCGCCUGGGGAGUACGGCCGCAAGGCUGAAACUCAAAGGAAUUGACGGGGGCCUGCACAAGCGGUGGAGCAUGUGGUUUAAUUCGAAGCAACGCGAAGAACCUUACCAGGUCUUGACAUCCUCUGCCAACCCUAGAGAUAGGGCGUUCCCCUUCGGGGGACAGAGUGACAGGUGGUGCAUGGUUGUCGUCAGCUCGUGUCGUGAGAUGUUGGGUUAAGUCCCGCAACGAGCGCAACCCUUGAUCUUAGUUGCCAGCAUUCAGUUGGGCACUCUAAGGUGACUGCCGGUGACAAACCGGAGGAAGGUGGGGAUGACGUCAAAUCAUCAUGCCCCUUAUGACCUGGGCUACACACGUGCUACAAUGGAUGGUACAAAGAGCUGCGAACCCGCGAGGGUAAGCGAAUCUCAUAAAGCCAUUCUCAGUUCGGAUUGGU
rnacentral:rRNA from 1 species